AUUGGACGCUGGCGGCAGGCCUAACACAUGCAAGUCGAGCGGAUGAUGGGAGCUUGCUCCUGGAUUCAGCGGCGGACGGGUGAGUAAUGCCUAGGAAUCUGCCUGGUAGUGGGGGACAACGUUUCGAAAGGAACGCUAAUACCGCAUACGUCCUACGGGAGAAAGCAGGGGACCUUCGGGCCUUGCGCUAUCAGAUGAGCCUAGGUCGGAUUAGCUAGUAGGUGAGGUAAAGGCUCACCUAGGCGACGAUCCGUAACUGGUCUGAGAGGAUGAUCAGUCACACUGGAACUGAGACACGGUCCAGACUCCUACGGGAGGCAGCAGUGGGGAAUAUUGGACAAUAGGCGAAAGCCUGAUCCAGCCAUGCCGCGUGUGUGAAGAAGGUCUUCGGAUUGUAAAGCACUUUAAGUUGGGAGGAAGGGCAGUAAGUUAAUACCUUGCUGUUUUGACGUUACCGACAGAAUAAGCACCGGCUAACUUCGUGCCAGCCGCCGCAGUAAAAC
rnacentral:rRNA from 1 species